rnacentral:rRNA from 1 species
GACGAACGCUGGCGGCGUGCUUAACACAUGCAAGUCGAACGGAAAGGCCCUGCUUUUGUGGGGUGCUCGAGUGGCGAACGGGUGAGUAACACGUGAGUAACCUGCCCUUGACUUUGGGAUAACUUCAGGAAACUGGGGCUAAUACCGGAUAGGAGCUCCUGCUGCAUGGUGGGGGUUGGAAAGUUUCGGCGGUUGGGGAUGGACUCGCGGCUUAUCAGCUUGUUGGUGGGGUAGUGGCUUACCAAGGCUUUGACGGGUAGCCGGCCUGAGAGGGUGACCGGCAACUGGGGGACAGAAAAGGGGCCCAGACCCCGCGGGGGGGCGGGGGGGGGGAAUUUUGCAAAGGGGGGGGAAGCCGGAUCCAGCACCCCCGGGGGGGGGAUGAGGGCUUUCGGUUGGAAACCCGUUUUCCCCGGGGACGAAGCGGGGGGGAGGGAAAUGGAUAAAGAAGCCCCGGCUAACUACGUC